GCUGCAAUCUAUGCCUUGACCACAGGCAUAGUCGAGACUUGCCUGUAAUUGAGCAGCAGAAACACCAGACUUGGGCAUACACCAGACUGCUCCUGUUGGUUUUGCUGAUGGACUUGGAGUUUUGGGGGUUGAUGGAGUCUGAGGAUGAACCAGCAUAAAUUAAUCCACAAAUUUCAAAGAAUGACAACUACAACAGAACAUAUAAUAUUAAGAAAAAUUCCACAAAGGCUCCUAGUUUUCUCAAUGAAAGAUAAUCUAUGGAAACAUGAACAUAUUCUCUUACUAGGCUACUCUUUGAGAAACCAACAUCAUAUAUCAUGGAAAGGUCAGGUUUGAAAA
rnacentral:misc_RNA from 1 species